CCCGCUGAACUUAAGCAUAUCAGUAAGCGGAGGAAAAGAAACUAACUAGGAUUCCGAUAGUAACUGCGAGUGAAGUCGGACAAGUCCAGCGCCAAAGUCUUCGGCUGUAUGGUCGGCAGACAAUGUGGCGUUUAGCUCGUUCGUUGCGCGUUUGCCGGCGCAGUCAAGUUCCCUUGACUGGGACUCAUGGCCCGUAGAGGGUGUGAGGCCUUUCGCUGCUAUGGCAGGCACGCUUGGAGCGGGUGACGAGUCGGGUUGUUUGGGAGUACAGCCCAAAUUAGGUGGUAAACUCCAUCUAAGACUGAAUACUAGCACGAGUCCGAUAGCGAACAAGUACCGUGAGGGAAAGUUGAAAAGCACUUUGAAGAGAGAGUUCAAGAGUACGUGAAACCGCCUAGGGGCAAGCGGGUAGAGCCACAGUUGCCAGUCAGUCGGAUUCAGUUGACGCAGCUUGCUGCGCGCUAGUGUGCGGACAUGCCGGUGCAAGCCGGUGUACAGCAUCAUUGGCUGCAAAGUAGGUUGAGUUGACGCACUUUCGGCUGACGUACGGCGGCCGCGACCAAUUGGCAGACCGGUGCCUAGUGUUUGUGUAGGUAGCUGCGGGUGCUCUUCGGAGCGCUGCUCACGUCAGUGUCAGACAUGAAUACUGGUCCAACCGGAGUCGAUUGAGGUGCGAAGCGACGCUCGCGCUCUUUGACGGCGCUUGCUGCUCGGUCGAGUUGUGGCGUUAAGUGCAGUACCGCUUGGCGGUGAUGUGCGAGACGUUGCUACUGUCAGGCUGGGUGUGUUUGCGAAUGCCGAGGAGUGUCGCUAGUCAGCGGCUUGUUGGUAGUCUACCCGGCCCGUCUUGAAACACGG
rnacentral:rRNA from 1 species